rnacentral:rRNA from 1 species
AGCGAACGCUGGCGGCAGGCCUAACACAUGCAAGUCGAACGAACCUUUCGGGGUUAGUGGCGGACGGGUGAGUAACACGUGGGAACGUGCCUUUAGGUUCGGAAUAACUCAGGGAAACUUGUGCUAAUACCGAAUGUGCCCUUCGGGGGAAAGAUUUAUCGCCUUUAGAGCGGCCCGCGUCUGAUUAGCUAGUUGGUUGAGGUAAUGGCUCACCAAGGCGACGAUCAGUAGGUGGGCUGAGAGGAUGAUCAGCCACAUUGGGACUGAGACACGGCCCAAACUCCUACGUGAGGCAGCAGUGGGGAAUCUUGCGCAAUGGGCGAAAGCCUGACGCAGCCAUGCCGCGUGAAUGAUGAAGGUCUUAGGAUUGUAAAAUUCUUUCACCGGGGACGAUAAUGACGGUACCCGGAGAAGAAGCCCCGGCUAACUUCGUG